rnacentral:rRNA from 1 species
UCUGUAAGCCUGUGAAGGUGAGUUGAGAAGCUUGCUGGAGGUAUCAGAAGUGCGAAUGCUGACAUGAGUAACGACAAUGGGUGUGAAAAACACCCACGCCGAAAGACCAAGGGUUCCUGCGCAACGUUAAUCGACGCAGGGUUAGUCGGUUCCUAAGGCGAGGCUGAAAAGCGUAGUCGAUGGGAAACAGGUUAAUAUUCCUGUACUUCUGGUUACUGCGAUGGAGGGACGGAGAAGGCUAGGCCAGCUUGGCGUUGGUUGUCCAAGUUUAAGGUGGUAGGCUGAAAUCUUAGGUAAAUCCGGGGUUUCAAGGCCGAGAGCUGAUGACGAGUCGUCUUUUAGAUGACGAAGUGGUUGAUGCCAUGCUUCCAAGAAAAGCUUCUAAGCUUCAGGUAACCAGGAACCGUACCCCAAACCGACACAGGUGGUCGGGUAGAGAAUACCAAGGCGCUUGAGAGAACUCGGGUGAAGGAACUAGGCAAAAUGGCACCGUAACUUCGGGAGAAGGUGCGCCGGCUAGGGUGAAGGAUUUACUCCGUAAGCUCUGGCUGGUCGAAGAUACCAGGCCGCUGCGACUGUUUAUUAAAAACACAGCACUCUGCAAACACGAAAGUGGACGUAUAGGGUGUGACGCCUGCCCGGUGCCGGAAGGUUAAUUGAUGGGGUUAGCGCAAGCGAAGCUCUUGAUCGAAGCCCCGGUAAACGGCGGCCGUAACUAUAACGGUCCUAAGGUAGCGAAAUUCCUUGUCGGGUAAGUUCCGACCUGCACGAAUGGCGUAACGAUGGCGGCGCUGUCUCCACCCGAGACUCAGUGAAAUUGAAAUCGCUGUGAAGAUGCAGUGUAUCCGCGGCUAGACGGAAAGACCCCGUGAACCUUUACUGUAGCUUUGCACUGGACUUUGAGCCUGCUUGUGUAGGAUAGGUGGGAGGCUUUGAAGCGUGGACGCCAGUUCGCGUGGAGCCAUCCUUGAAAUACCACCCUGGCAUGCUUGAGGUUCUAACUCUGGUCCGUAAUCCGGAUCGAGGACAGUGUAUGGUGGGCAGUUUGACUGGGGCGGUCUCCUCCUAAAGAGUAACGGAGGAGUACGAAGGUGCGCUCAGACCGGUCGGAAAUCGGUCGCAGAGUAUAAAGGCAAAAGCGCGCUUGACUGCGAGACAGACACGUCGAGCAGGUACGAAAGUAGGUCUUAGUGAUCCGGUGGUUCUGUAUGGAAGGGCCAUCGCUCAACGGAUAAAAGGUACUCCGGGGAUAACAGGCUGAUACCGCCCAAGAGUUCAUAUCGACGGCGGUGUUUGGCACCUCGAUGUCGGCUCAUCACAUCCUGGGGCUGAAGCCGGUCCCAAGGGUAUGGCUGUUCGCCAUUUAAAGUGGUACGCGAGCUGGGUUUAGAACGUCGUGAGACAGUUCGGUCCCUAUCUGCCGUGGACGUUUGAGAUUUGAGAGGGGCUGCUCCUAGUACGAGAGGACCGGAGUGGACGAACCUCUGGUGUUCCGGUUGUCACGCCAGUGGCAUUGCCGGGUAGCUAUGUUCGGAAAAGAUAACCGCUGAAAGCAUCUAAGCGGGAAACUUGCCUCAAGAUGAGAUCUCACUGGGAACUUGAUUCCCCUGAAGGGCCGUCGAAGACUACGACGUUGAUAGGCUGGGUGUGUAAGCGUUGUGAGGCGUUGAGCUAACCAGUACUAAUUGCCCGUGAGGCUUGACC